rnacentral:rRNA from 1 species
CUGUUCAGACUAGCCAUGCAUGUCUAAGUAUAAAUAACUACACAGUAAAACUGCGAAUGGCUCAUUAAAACAGUUAUAGUUUAUUUGAUAUAUUAUAUGGAUAACUGUAGAAAAACUAGAGCUAAUACAUGCCAUAACCGUAAGGUUGUAUUUAUUAGAUAUUCCUGGUAGGUGAUUCAUAAUAACUUAGCGAAUCGUGACUCGUUCACGAUAAAUCAUUCAAGUUUCUGCCCUAUCAUGCUUUCGAUGGUAGUGUAUUGGACUACCAUGGCUCUCACGGGUAACGGAGAAUUAGGGUUCGAUUCCGGAGAAGGAGCCUGAGAAACGGCUACUACAUCUAAGGAAGGCAGCAGGCGCGUAAAUUACCCAAUCCUGAUUCAGGGAGGUAGCGACAAGAUAUAACAACGUGAAGUCAAAUUCGCGAUUGUAGUGAGGUUAUUCCAAACCGAAAUUCGAGUACGAUUGGAGGAUAAGUCUUGGUGCCAGCACCCGCGGUAAUU